AACCUAGCACACCUGCGGUGUGUACCUGCGGAAGGAUCAUAACUGGUUAAACUUUAUAAACACCAGAGUUUCAAACUCUGUGUUUGCAAACAAAAAAACACCCUUCAAAACAGCUAUUCAGUGUCUGAAUUAACUAGUUUAAUAUAAAAACAACUUUUAACAACGGAUCU
rnacentral:misc_RNA from 1 species